GACGACGCUGGCGGCGUGCUUAAUACAUGCAAGUCGAGCGAGGUUACUGUUUCGGAUCCCUUCGGGGUGAAGAAGCUUUAACCUAGCGGCGGACGGGUGAGUAACGCGUGGGUAACCUACCCCAAAGUCCGGGAUAACAGCGGGAAACCGCUGCUAAUACCGGAUGCCUUUACCUUGGGGCAUCUUGAGGUAAAGAAAGGUAACGCUUUGGGAUGGGCCCGCGUCCCAUUAGCUAGUUGGUGAGGUAACGGCUCACCAAGGCGACGAUGGGUAGCCGGCCUGAGAGGGUGGACGGCCACACUGGGACUGAGACACGGCCCAGACUCCUACGGGAGGCAGCAGUAGGGAAUAUUGCGCAAUGGACGGAAGUCUGACGCAGCGACGCCGCGUGAGCGAUGAAGGUCUUCGGAUCGUAAAGCUCUGUCCUUGGGGAAGAAGGCGAAAGCUUGACGGUACCCAAGAAGAAAGCCCCGGCUAACUAUGUG
rnacentral:rRNA from 1 species